CAAUACGAAGCCUUUGGUUUUGUAAUUGAAUUGAGAACAAUGUACAAUCGUUAUCGAUAAACAAUUGGAGGGCAAGUCUGGUGCCAGCAGCCGCGGUAAUUCCAGCUCCAAUAGCGUAUAUUAACGUUGUUGCAGUUAAAAAGCUCGUAGUUGAAGUUUAGAUGAUUUGUUGAGAGUGUUAGUAUUCGUACUAUCUGCCCUCAAUAGAUUAUCGACUUCCAGGUAAGCUCAAUAAUCCCUCCGGGGAUUAUUGUGCCAGACUGGUCUUUUACUGUGAGAAAAUUAGAGUGUUUAAAGCAGACUUUUUUAGUUUGAAUAGAUUAGCAUGGAAUAAUAAGAUUGGCUUUCAUAGUCGAUUUUUUGGUUUGUUUAUGAAAGCAAGAUUAAUAGGGACAGUUGGGGGUAUUCAUAUUCAAUAGCUAGAGGUGAAAUUCUAUGAUUUAUGGAAGAUGAACUAGUGCGAAAGCAUUUACCAAGGAUGUUUUCAUUAAUCAAGAACGAAAGCUAGGGGAUCAAAGAGGAUUAGAUACCC
rnacentral:rRNA from 1 species